UAGGUACUCCCUCCGUCCCAAAAUUCUUGUCUUAGAUUUAUUCAAAUACGGAUGUAUGAAGUCACGUUUUAAUAUUAGGUAUAUUCGUAUCUAAACAAAUGUAAGACAAGAAUUUUGGGACGGAGGGAGUAGCUA
rfam:Triticum aestivum genome assembly, contig: Triticum_aestivum_CS42_TGACv1_scaffold_289507_4AL